rnacentral:tRNA from 1 species
AAGGGAGACCUAAUUCAGGUAGGAGACGAAAAAAAAGUAGUCCCUACCAAGAAUCAAUCCCAAAAGGUCGGAGCGAGGCAAAAUUGGCUUUCAAACUAGGUUCUGGGUUCACACAAGACCUGAAUCAGGAACAAGGGCUAUUAGCUCAGGUGGUUAGAGCGCACCCCUGAUAAGGGUGAGGUCCCUGGUUCGAGUCCAGGAUGGCCCACCUGUACAGGUGGCAAAAAAAAAGAAAAGAAGCGAGGAAUCAGCACCUUAUCUUACUGACAUAGUAAGAGAGAAUGCUGGCUCUGAGUAAAGAGUCCAGAGGAACCUUGAAAACUGCAUAGAGCUAGGUGAAAAAGCCAAAAAAGAANACCGCAA